CGCCUCAUGGUGUAGUUGGCAGCAUAUAGGUUUCUGGUACCUGGGACCCCAGUUCAAAUCUGGGUGGGGCGA
rfam:Acanthamoeba castellanii str. Neff unplaced genomic scaffold scf7180000084749, whole genome shotgun sequence.